CCCUCCUGCAAAGUCUUGUCUGUGGUUUCCUGUCUUUGGACAUGUAAGAAUUGGAGGCAAAGAAAUGUGGGCUUAAAGAAGUCUGGGGCCAGCCUGCUCCCUGAAGGCUCAAGAUCAACCAUCCCACAUAG